CCUACGGUUCGGCGGGUUCGCACAUCAGUCUCUAUGGCUCGUUUCAGGGGUGGCGCGCUAGCGUGCACCGCGCGAAAAAGGUGGAGCCGAAACCUUACCUCCCCCACCCAAUCGCCUCGCAUCCACCUCCUCCCCAAUCCCCUCUCGUUCUCUGGCAUGGCAGCGGUGGCGGCGUCGAGCAUGCGCCUGCGCGACGGAGCCGAGCGCGCGCCUGAAGACAGCGGCUGCUGGCGAGCGCCGCGCCUGGGCGACGGCGGCGACUGCGGUGGCGAGCGCGCGCCUGGAGAUGGCGGCGGCGAAGGCGCGCCUGGCGACGACGGCAGCGCCUCUCCUCCAAUCCCCGCCGUGUGUGGAUCCCCAUCCCCGUCGCCACGCAUCUCUCCUCCUUCCACGCCGCCGCGCGCCUCUCCUCCUCCACCCUAGCCGGCCCCCAAUUUCCUCACGCGCCUCCUCAGCCCAUGGCUCUUCUCCUCCAAUCCCUCUCCCUCUACUGCACAUCAAGGUCAAGCUGCCGCCACCACCACUCACCGUCGAGCCAGCGUGACGGACGGGGGCACGGGAGCCGCCGCAAAAUUCAGGAGCUCCAGAUCCCGCAUCCCCAUCCCCUCCUCUUCUCUCACGUAUCUCCCUCCUCCCUUUCUUCGCGCUGCUAGCUCCGUCCUCCUCCAUCCUCAACAUUGCCGGGAGCAGUGGUGGCCGCCGAUUGGAACAGCAGCACCAGCUGUUCACGGGCAGAGCGGGCCAGAGCACGGCCGACCAGCAGUAGGGAUCAAAGUGCGGACGACGGCGGAGCACAUGUGGGUUGGCAGCCUGCUUGUCCCAGCCUUAUCUUCAUUGAAAACCUGCAGGUCCAAACGAGAUUGCGGGGAGAUGAGGUAGACGUAGACGCCAGAAAUUUUCCUCCGGAAGCCAUGAAGAACUCGGUUUAGUUUGGCUCUGGGCGGUUUCCCUUUCAUUCUUGCAAGGGAUGUACAUUCAGGUUAAUCACACACUGAUCUAAGAUGGCAGGAGGUGGCUUUUACAUAGGAAAGCAUCAGUUUCGUUGACUGGACACAAGUUUUGAACAGUAUCAUCAAGAGAUGGGCGAGGAGAUCGUGCUUCUGCAUGGGUUGGAUGACUGACGCCAACACUUCUUCAGCCCAAAAAAAAGAAGAGAAGGUUCUCCUCCAUAUUUGGGAGCGAGAAAGAAGGUGCCGGCUAAUUCAGUUAUGUGAAGUUGCAUUACAUAGCUGACAUUAAGCAGUGCUUCAUUAGUGCCUCACUGGUGUUCCGCGACAUAUGCUUAAAAGUGAAGCAUGGUCUGCAAUCAGAUUGAUGUGCUCUCCUUCUUGGCUGGUAGUUUUUCUCAUUGGUUGUAUACGAAGACACAUACAGAUUGCCAGUCAACAAUAUUGGAAAGCGAGGAUGAUACAGUCACGACAGGGAUUUGGGACAACUAAAUUGUGAAGAAACCUGCAGACAUUGCUAAUUAAUGGAGCGAAAUUGGCAGUGCAUAUAUUUGGGGAAGCUAACUAUUCACGUAUCUGCCACAAGUGUGACUGCUACCAUCCGAGUGAGUUCCAUGGUCGCCUCCUACCAUCCGAGAAAAUUUGCAAAUCGAGUAUUUUGCAUGGAUAGCUGCUCGGAUGGCUUGGCGAUGCCACGUCUAUGGUUCAAGUUCUGUGAAGACUGUGAUGCAUGGGGUCACCCCUCCUUACGCUGUAUCCACCAAGGAGCAAUUCUGGUUAUUGUCUUAUGGCAUUCGUGACCUUUCCACCUUUGAAGUCAUGGUGCGAGCUCACCCAUUGAUAAAACAACGGGUUUGAUAGUUCAAUGCAAUCACAUGCAUUCCGUGUUGGGUUUCACUCGCCAUUUCCAAUAGGAACACAUUUGGUGAGCCAAGUGAACCACACCUGCUUGUGAUUGAGGCAUGAGAGGCACUCAGGAAAUCUGUAGUGUAUUUUCAUUGCCAACCAGUUGGUACAGUUGUUGCGGUAGAUCAUGCAUAUGAGGAAGUGCUCAAUAAUGAUCAGGUUUUUGUCAGCGAUUUUGUUCCCACUGCGUUGGCUUUUCCGAUGAACAAAGAGCCCGGGAUAGUGAAGAACUUCCUAUUGAAAACUCUUCACUUGCAAAGCUCACAUUAAAUGGUGCUUGUGCUGAAUAGUGUUCCCACUCUUCUUCAACUUCAAGGAUUCCCCAAUGAUAGGCACGCACAACCCCAAUGAUAGGCACGCACAAAAUUUUGUUUCGGUGCUGGAUAUCGCAGAGAGAUAUCAGUUGGACUUGCCUAGGUAAUCAUCAGUCCCACAAGAUUUCACUAUUUGUGAUGUUAUUUAGCAAAAUAAUGUAGCUUUUUUACACUCUGGCCUCAUGUUAUAGGGCCGGAACCAAAUAUAUCGCACCGCCUCUCACCCUGCCAGCUUAAAAUGGUCGAUAUUGUUAUCACUAAAUAAGGCAUCCCUCCUUAGGUCUUACUUAAUGCAAAUGGAAUACAUAAGUAGAUCAUCAGCUCGACAAACUAGCCCGGCAACGGUGCAAAAAAAAUGAAUUUGGACUGUGGUUAGCUAAUAUAUUUGUCAUAGAUCUGCGAUAUUGAACUUAUCUGAAACAUUUAUUUUGUGGACAAAUUGUAGUGACGACUGGGAUUAAUGAAAUAUGACGCUGAGAAAACAAAGAUAUAUAUUUUUUCAAUAAAUCCAGUUCACACAUGUGUAUUGAACUUGUAUGUGUGCUGAGGUCUUUUCUAUGACAAUGAUAAUUCUCACAUUUCUUUAUGCUAAUUAGUGCAUGGUGUUUUUCUUCCUUCUUCGAUCAUGCAUCCGUAUAUGUAUUUCAAUCACACUAAGUUCAAUUGUUUCUUGAUUACUUGGACUCGGCCCCUAUUUUUAACUCACCUCGAACUGUCUUUGUGGCUGUAUAGUUUCUCCUGCGAGUUGUCACGAUGUGCAGAUCUGCAUCCCAGCUUAGGAGAGCUUCCACAGUUGGCAGUUGUAGGCUGAAUCUUGUGCCAAAUUCAGAAGAUGCAUAGGCUGAAUCGAUCGAUUACACUUGUGAGUUUCAUUGCAUCUCUCUAUCAGGCGCGGACACCCAUCCACGAAAGCUCGGGAGGAUGGACAGAGCAAGAGGAAGAAAACCUACAACACAAUUUUCCAAGAGCGGCGAAUUUUGGUGUUGCGAGUUGUGCAGGUGAAUGAUCUUUCUAUGUUGUUUGUGUACGCCGGAGUCUGAAGAUUAUGUUGAUUCCUUUCAUUGUUAUCCUGUAAAUAUGACCUAAGUGUCUGUUGCGGCGGAGUUUCUAUGCACCUUAUGUGGAUGGAGCUUCUACUAUUGCGCCAUGCUCGAUUUAUGUGUUUGCCGUUUUGAUCCGUCUUGCUGUAGACAAAGACUUUUUCUAAAAUUAAUC